AAGGAGACAGUUGGCGGAGUCUUGAGGCCGCUGCCGGAAAGGGGGAGGAUCGAGCCGGCGGCUGCGACGCCGGCCUGCGCUAAGCCUCUCGCCCGCCCUUGCCUCUUACCGCAUGGUGCCGGCUUCUCGCUAAGCUGGGGCGGCGAGGCGAGAGGGACGCACUGCCGGGGCGGCUCGGAGUCGAGGCUUCCCGUCGCCCGCACUUCCUCCUGUGGCGCCCGUGCGUGGCCGCCUCGGCCAGCGGGAUGGCGGCGGCGGCCCGGGGGAGUGGCCGCGCAUCGGCGCCCCGGCUGCUUCUGCUUCUGCUGCUAGCGCUGCUGUGGGCCCCGGCCGGCGUCCGCGCUGUGCCGGACGAAGACCUUAGCCUUCGGAAGAAGGAACCGCCGGCGCCCGCCCAGCAGCUGCAGCCGCAGCCGGCGGCCGUGCAGGGCCCCGAGCCUGUCCGGGCCGAGAAAGGAUUUACACCAGCUGCCCCGGUUCAUUCCAAUAAAGAAGAUCCAGCUACCCAGACAAAUUUGGGAUUUAUCCAUGCAUUUGUCGCUGCCAUAUCAGUUAUCAUUGUAUCUGAGCUGGGUGAUAAGACAUUUUUCAUAGCCGCCAUCAUGGCCAUGCGCUAUAACCGUCUGACGGUGUUGGCUGGGGCCAUGCUUGCCCUGGGCCUGAUGACGUGCUUAUCAGUUUUGUUCGGCUAUGCCACCACAGUCAUCCCCAGGGUGUAUACGUACUAUGUUUCCACUGCAUUAUUUGCCAUUUUUGGCAUUAGAAUGCUUCGAGAAGGCUUAAAGAUGAGUCCAGAUGAGGGUCAAGAGGAACUGGAAGAAGUUCAAGCAGAAUUAAAGAAAAAGGAUGAAGAAUUUCAACGAACUAAACUCUUAAAUGGACCAGGAGAUGUUGAAACGGGUGCAAGCACGACAAUACCCCAGAAGAGAUGGCUGCAUUUUAUCUCCCCCAUCUUCGUUCAGGCUCUCACACUGACAUUCUUAGCCGAAUGGGGUGAUCGCUCCCAACUAACUACGAUUGUUCUGGCAGCCAGAGAGGACCCGUAUGGCGUAGCAGUGGGUGGGACAGUGGGCCACUGCUUAUGCACCGGACUAGCAGUCAUCGGAGGAAGAAUGAUAGCCCAAAAAAUCUCUGUCAGAACCGACCAGAAAGGAGAAUUCCCUGUUAGAAAGUAGCUGGUGCCAUCACAACCCCGACUGGCAGUGCAGGCAGCCUGGCCCAAGAACUAGCUUAAUGCGGGGCUAACAGACAGCAUAGCUUUCUUGAGGCUCUACCACCUUGUACCAGGACAGUACUACUACUACUACAAGAAUUUGGCAGUUCCGACACGAAGCUACGAGGAAUAUCAAGAUCAUAUAUAGAAAACAUUGACAGGUAAUUCUUAACUGUUCAGCUUUAAAGGAAGAUGCUGAUUUAGGAAACAAUUUUGUGAUCACAUCAAUGACUCUGAUAGUGUCAGGAUGUCACCUUGUAUUUAUUUCUAAGUUACUUGUACCUCCAGUCCAAGAGACUCAAAGCAGUCUUCGUGGAAACUUAGGAGAAUCAUAAUGGCACUGACACCCACAUGCUGUUAAAAAUGUACUAAGGUUUCAAAACUGCUACUGAAACCAGACAAUGAAUUCAAGAUGGUGAGUUAUCACCUGAAUCAAAAUCAAGGCACUAUGGGUUUUUUUUUUCCCCUCAAAUAACCCUGAAUCAUUUCUGACUAAAAGAAGCAUUGAAAUUGUGAAGGAUAAUAAAAAGAUUCCAACAAAUCCUAAAAGUUAAAAUUCCCACCAGUGAGAAUGUUAAAAAGUGCCUAAAAUCUUUUGUGUGCAAAUUUUACUCCUAUAACUGAAACAUUCUUGAAAUUACUUCCAGGCUUAUUGAAAACCGUUUACACAACUAUUUCCAACUAUGAACUAUAUAUCAAAAUAUGUGACCAAAACUUCCAACCAUCUAAAAUAAAGCAGUGCAAAUCCUAUUUUCAAACAUAAAUGAAAAAUAAUGAAAUAAAGGAUAUUUCUGAGUAA